rnacentral:rRNA from 1 species
CUGUCUUCUUCUUACUAUUUAUAAUUUACUUAAGGAGUGAAAAUUCUCCUACAUUAAUUAAAAGACGAGAAGACCCUAAGAAUUAUUUAAUACGCCAGUACUAUUUAACUGAUUACUUUUUGUUGGGGCAACAAGGGUACAAGAAAACUUCCCUUCUUCUUAUUUUUUAACCUGACGAGACCUUCUAAGAAAGCACUAAUUACCUUAGGGAUAACAGCAUAAUUUUAUAUUUAAGAUUGUGACCUCGAUGUUGGACUAG